GAUGAACGCUGGCGGCGUGCCUAAUACAUGCAAGUCGAGCGAACGGACGAGAAGCUUGCUUCUCUGAUGUUAGCGGCGGACGGGUGAGUAACACGUGGAUAACCUACCUAUAAGACUGGGAUAACUUCGGGAAACCGGAGCUAAUACCGGAUAAUAUUUUGAACCGCAUGGUUCAAAAGUGAAAGACGGUCUUGCUGUCACUUAUAGAUGGAUCCGCGCUGCAUUAGCUAGUUGGUAAGGUAACGGCUUACCAAGGCAACGAUGCAUAGCCGACCUGAGAGGGUGAUCGGCCACCCUGGAACUGAGACACGGUCCAGACUCCUACGGGAGGCAGCAGUAGGGAAUCUUCCGCAAUGGGCGAAAGCCUGACGGAGCCACGCCGCGUGAGUGAUGAAGGUCUUCGGAUCGUAAAACUCUUUUAUUAGGGAAGAACAUAUGUGUAAGUAACUGUGCACAUCUUGACGGUACCUAAUCAGAAAGCCACGGCUAACUACGUG
rnacentral:rRNA from 1 species